rnacentral:tRNA from 1 species
GCCCGUGUGGUGUAGUCUGGAUAGCAUAAAGGCUUCCGGAGCCUUUGACCUGGGUUCAAAUCCCAGCACGGGUG